AAGCAGAUGCGAUCAGCCACUGUAUAAAUCCGCCUCAAUUACAGCAAUGUUCGAAUGCUUCGGAGAACACUGUUUUUUCAGACUCAAGUACGAAUGGCGGGGGAGUAGAGGAAUUUGGGGAGCUGCUCGUUGCAGGCCGAGUUAAGCGGUUGAGUGACAAAGUUCAGACUUAUUUCGGCAAAACAUUCCCCACCCCCAAAUCACGUUUUUCCCAAGACAACCAAAAGGGGCAAGAGUCGAUCAUUUCAAAGAUCGUGGCUUUCUGAGUUUAAGUGGUUAGUGUACAUCCCGUCAAAGGAUGGGGGCAUUUGCAAGGCGUGCGUCCUAUUUCAUUCUACCAGCCAACCUGGUGUGCUUGUGAAAUCGCCUAUGACCAAUUUCAAAUGUGCCAAGGAAAUCUUACAAUCUCAUUCAAAAA